GACGAACGCUGGCGGCGUGCUUAACACAUGCAAGUCGAACGGAAAGGCCCUGCUUUUGUGGGGUGCUCGAGUGGCGAACGGGUGAGUAACACGUGAGUAGCCUGCCCUUGACUUUGGGAUAACUUCAGGAAACUGGGGCUAAUACCGGAUAGGAGCUCCUGCCGCAUGGUGGGGGUUGGAAAGUUUCGGCGGUUGGGGAUGGACUCGCGGCUUAUCAGCUUGUUGGUGGGGUAGUGGCUUACCAAGGCUUUGACGGGUAGCCGGCCUGAGAGGGUGACCGGCCACAUUGGGACUGAGAUACGGCCCAGACUCCUACGGGAGGCAGCAGUGGGGAAUAUUGCACAAUGGGCGGAAGCCUGAUGCAGCAACGCCGCGUGCGGGAUGACGGCCUUCGGGUUGUAAACCGCUUUCGCCUGUGACGAAGCGUGAGUGACGGUAAUGGGUAAAGAAGCACCGGCUAACUACGUG
rnacentral:rRNA from 1 species